GUUGGUGUAGCUCAGUGGUAGAGUGCAUGCUUUGUAUGAUGUCCUGUGUUCAAUCCCCAGCUUUUUCU